GUAGCAAGCUCAAGGAAGAAAAAGACAUACAGUAGCUUUUACUUAAACAAAGAACCUUCCAAGCACUAAAUCUUUUCUUGUUUCAAUUUUCACCCUGCAUGUUACUGGUAUGGUUUCAUCAAAUAUUAUUGUAGCGAGGUUUCAGGGAUUAGCAGCUCCAUUACAAAUGUUCAGACAUGAUCUAUAUCCCCUUCUUUAUAAGAUUAUAUAUCUGAACAGUUUCACAUAGAUUUAUUAUAAAGCAAUAGAAACUGAGGUCGAGCUUUCGAAAUCGAAUAAUUGUUUAUAGAUUUAUUUUUUUUAUCUUGAAUAUUUCCAAAUUUUAUUUCAACAUUUAUCAAAAUCUGUUCACAAGCGUAUUUUCCAGGUCAUACGUCCGAUUGCAGAGAAAGAGUAAAGCAGCUGACAGCCCCAAGGCAGAGCGGACCAACAAACAUUCUCACGUUCUUCCAUGCAAUAUGUCGUAACUUAGAAGAAGUUCGUAAAUCGUUUACUAAAUUGAAUUUAUUUACUUUUUACAAGAAAAACGAGUUGCUCUGUUGUAUCGAUAAAUAAAAUAGAGAAAUUCACAGGUACUCAUAAUAUAAAAUUUCGUUACUGUAGUGUUUGUAUAAUGAUGUAUUGUGAUAGAUUUUUGUCACAUAAGAUUUUGGUGUGAUGUGCCUUAUUCCAUUCGUUUCUUUAUCAACGUACAAUCGCGCUAUCUUCAUAUAAUAAAUCGGCAAAUUCCAGUAAUAAAAAAUAAGGAUUUGUGCUAGUAAUCACUAUUGUACUUUAUUUGAAGCCUAUUUCUGCCAUGAGUCCUUUUGGGGCAGUAUAGGUAGGUAAAAAAAGUCAAAGUCCCAUCAUGCUCUUUGACAAACUCGUACACUUUAAGGGUUGUUAGGAAUAUAUAUAAUAAAUGUUUCUAAUUCCCUUCCUCUUAAGUUUUACGUUCUACAGUUUACAUUUCUAUCCUACGAAGAAAGCAAUUAAUUAUGAUUGACAUCGGUAGGGACGACGAUAUAAUUAUGAAGCUGCACCGAUUUUUAUUACCAAGGUUCUUCAAAUUUUUUAAAUAGCCUCUAAUAUAUUAUUGAAGAGCUUCAUUCUUUCAAUACUUUGUUAAGUCUUUUGAUGCUUUCCUCUUCAAAUCGAAAAAUUCAGCGCACGUCGUUAACGAAUUUUAAUGUCUUCAUUAAAAUGCACAAAUAUACGUAAAAAUAGUUUAAUGUCUUCGGUAUCUAUCGUUGUAGCGGUUUAUGUGUUGCUGCCAAUAUCCUUAUAUAGAGUAAACAGUCUUCCUACCAUGCGUGUCUGAGUCGUCCACUAAUUCAAACAAUUACUCAUGUUUCUAGGGCGAUUGCUAUUCAUUGAGUAGUUUGAAGAAAUUCAUUCUUUCCAAAUUUACUUUGUUGCUCCAUGUUUACUUAUUUUCGCCUUUUGCUCGUUUCGUCUAUUUUCGUAUGCUCAUCAUUUUUAUGUCAGUUGUUACUUUGUCCACGAUUUAUGGUUGAAGUAAGCUUGCCCGGUCGAUUAACGAUAAUUUAUAAAAUCA